GCCUCGUUGGCCAGGCGGGUGACCGCCUGCUCGGCGGUGAGGCCGAGGUCGCGCUGGAGCGCCUCGAUCAUCGAGGGGGCGGCC
rnacentral:tRNA from 1 species